AACGCGAAGAACCUUACCUGGACUCGAAAUCUAGUUGACAGUCUCAGAGAUGAGAUCUUCCCGCAAGGGACGGCUGGAUAGGUGCUGCAUGGCUGUCGUCAGCUCGUGUCGUGAGAUGUUGGGUUAAGUCCCGCAACGAGCGCAACCCUCACCCUUAGUUGCUCGCCCGCAAGGGAAGCACCCUAAGGGAACCGCCUCGGAUAACGGGGAGGAAGGUGGGGAUGACGUCAAGUCCUCAUGGCCUUUAUGCCCAGGGCUACACACGUGCUACAAUGGCCGGUACAAAGCGUCGCCAACCCGCGAGGGGGAGCCAAUCGCAAAAAACCGUUCUCAGUUCGGAUUGCAGGCUGCAACUCGCCUGCAUGAAGCUGGAAUCGCUAGUAAUGGUGGAUCAGCAUGCCACCGUGAAUACGUUCCCGGGCCUUGUACACACCGCGCAUA
rnacentral:rRNA from 1 species